UUCGCAAUGCCCGAAAGGGUGACGAAGCGACGCCGCGUGGGUGAAGAAGGCCUUCGGGUUGUAAAGCCCUGUCAGGAGUUAAGAAAUGUAAGUGCGCUAAUAUCGCAUUUAUUUGACGAAGGCUCCAAAGGAAGUCACGGCUAACUCUGUGCCAGCAGCCGCGGUAAUACAGAGGUGGCAAGCGUUGUUCGGAAUUAUUGGGCGUAAAGAGCACGUAGGUGGGUUUGUAAGUCAGAUGUGAAAGCCUUCUGUUCAACGGAAGAAUUGCAUCUGAAACUACGAGUCUUGAGUGUAGGAGGGGAGAAUGGAACUUCUGGUGGAGCGGUGAAGUGCGUAGAUAUCAGAAGGAACGCCGGCGGCGAAAGCGAUUCUCUGGCCUAUUACUGUCACUCAGUGUGCGAAAGCUAGGGGAGCAAACGGGAUUAGAUACCCCGGUAGUCCUAGCCGUAAACGAUGGGCACUAAGUAGAGGGGUUUU
rnacentral:rRNA from 1 species